rnacentral:lncRNA from 1 species
CACAGGACUAACAUCCUCAAAUGCAGGAGACUGCUUGUUGUGGAAAGCGCUGAGGCUGAUUCAGCUGACCAGGUGGUUGGUUCUGUCUGAUGUUGUCCCUUCUAACAUCAGGCAGCAAAUUCCCGUGGGAAAGGUAACUGAAGUAACACAUUCUCAAGAAGUCAAGCUCCAAGGGGCUGCUGGGUGUAAAUAUAUCCUGAAGAUUAGUAUUUAUAAUGUUGAGAUUUGGGCAGCAUCUCAUCAAGCCCUCUGUGGUCUUCCUGAAGACGGAGCUCUCCUUUGCUCUUGUGAACCGGAAGCCAGUCGUCCCAGGGCGUAUCCUUUCAACCAGAGCCUCAAUCAUGAGCGCGUAUGGGCCGUUCAGCGUUCUGUGGAAAAGUGGGAGAUACUCUGCACGUUCUGAAGGCCAGUAAGAUUGCAUACACUCUUUGAAAAUGCCCAUAGGAUAAGCUUGAAGCACGGUAUACCUGCAGCCAUUUCAGAUCACUUCAGGGAACUGUUCUACAAGACUUCUGGAAGAAGAACCCUAGUCCCUUCUGUGGAAUGAG